GGACUACCAGGGUAUCUAAUCCUGUUUGCUCCCCACGCUUUCGUGCCUCAACGUCAGAUAUGGACCAAGAAGCUGCUUUCGCCAUCGGUGUUCCUCUCGAGAUCUACGCAUUUUACCGCUACUCCGAGAAUUCCACUUCUCUCUUCCAUCCUCAAGUUUAUCAGUAUCUCUCGCUGAUCCUCAGUUAGGCUGAGGUAUUAAACAAAAGACUUAAUGAACCGUCUACGCACCCUUUACGCCCAGUAAUUCCGAAUAACGCUUGCACCUCUCGUAUUACCGCGGCUGCUGGCAC
rnacentral:rRNA from 1 species